AAAGUUUUCGGAUGAGCUGUGGUUAGGGGUGAAAGGCUUAUCAAACUGGGAGAUAGCUCGUACUCUCCGAAAUGCAUUUAGGUGCAGCCUCGGACGUAUUGUCAUGGAGGUAGAGCUACUGAUCGGGCUAGGGGGCUUCAUCGCCUACCAAACCCGGACAAACUCCGAAUGCCAUGACAUAAUUAUCCGGGAGUGAGCGCAUGGGUGCUAAGGUCCGUGCGCGAAAGGGAAAAACCCAGACCAUCGGCUAAGGUCCCUAAGUACACGCUAAGUUGAUCUAACGAGGUCGGACUGCAUUGACAGCUAGGAUGUUGGCUUGGAAGCAGCCAUUCAUUUAAAGAGUGCGUAACAGCUCACUAGUCGAGCGGUCCGGCAUGGAUAAUGAUCGGGCAUCAAGUGUGUCACCGAAGCUGUGGGCUCCGUAAGGAGCGGUAGGAGAGCAUUCCGGUCUGCGUCGAAGGUGUGUUGUAAGACAUGCUGGAGCGUCCGGAAAAG
rnacentral:rRNA from 1 species